AACUUCCGGUCCUCAAAGGACUAGGUAUUUUCAAGUUUUAUAACGUUAAUCUUAAAUGUAACACUUUACACGUGCUCGUGAUAUCUUAAACAACUGAAGGAUAAUGAAACUGAACAGAGCUCUACAGUUUGCAAAGAAAAAUAAGUUAGCUAUUUUGUUUCCCACAUUAACAGCUGGCUUUAUCCUUCACGAUUUGAAUCGUACAAGGAUUUUUAAAGCUAAAGUGGCAGAAAGAGAUAGGAGGAGAUUGCAGGAAAAGGGGAACAAGUAGCAAAGAUGCCUGGUCCUAACUUCAACUUUACACAUUUGACAUCAGCACAGCGAAAGAGAACCCUGGUAGCUUUCUAUUUAGCCAUACCACCCCUGUUCAUUGUGUGUAAAUAUUUAGAGAGGAAAUUCGUAUUUGACAAAAUGGACAGUCAUUUGAAUAAAAGCAAACUCUUUGGUGGACGUACGUUACACCCAGAUCCAUGGUCUGGAAAAGAAUGGUGAAAUGUGAAGUUACAGCUGUUCGGAUCAAUCGGAUGUAAAAUAAGUGUUAUUAUUAAAUAAAUUUAAUUUUAAUCUGGA